UACGGAGGAUGCGAGCGUUAUCCGGAUUUAUUGGGUUUAAAGGGUGCGUAGGCGGGCUGUUAAGUCAGCGGUAAAAGCCCGGGGCUCAACCCCGGCGAGCCGUUGAAACUGGCUGUCUUGAGAUGUCGAGAGGUAUGCGGAAUGCGCAGUGUAGCGGUGAAAUGCUUAGAUAUUGCGCAGAACUCCGAUUGCGAGGGCAGCAUACCGGCGGCGAUCUGACGCUGAGGCACGAAAGCGUGGGUAUCGAACAGG
rnacentral:rRNA from 1 species